AGUAAGCCUGUAAAUAUUUGGGGUUUUAAAAAAUAUUUUAAAACCACUUCAUCUUUCAUUGUAAUGGAACUCUUGUUAGCACAUGCCCUUCUCAGAUCCUUGGAUGUUCUCCCCUUCUCUCCUUACAGAGAGAUAUUGAUCCUGAUCAAUACUCUACUAAUCCUGUAUCAAAUUCUGAUUAAUAUGUCAAAUCAAUAAAACAAGCACAGAAAAAUAGAUGUGCAAAAUCUUUUAAAAUGUGGCUAUUUUCCUCGUGUUGUGGCCCAUUAGCCAUGGUUUUUAAACCAGUUUCUCAUAAAAUAAAAAUUUUUGCAAAGAAAAGAGGGAUUGUUUUGUUUCUAGAGAAGUUUUGAAUUCUUUUUAGUUGACUCUGCUAAGCAGAUUAAAUGCUUCUGAUUUGUGGUACAGGUGUCCUAAAGGAUGGAUGUCUGCCCAAACAUAUUAGAAGUUAAAAAUCACCAUUUUUUUGUCACAUUUCAGCAUAUAGGCAUGUAGUAAUAGUAAGACAGAGAGUACUAUAGCUAUAUUCUCUGAAAAAGAGUCAUCUUCCUUCCUGAACAUGUUUAGCACUAUAAAACUGGAUAAAAAUAAAGAAUAUACCCUGUAAACAAAAAUAUAGCAAAUUAUUACCAUAGUAUUUCUCACAAGAAUAGGUCACUGUAUUUUGAAGAGACAGCUUGGGGUUUCUUUUAUUGUUUUCCUAGAAUUUUUGAUGAAGUUCCCAGUGUUCCCAGAUCUCUGUAUCGAAUGUCCACCCUUAGAGAUAAGUUCAAGGCACUCGGGACAUGCCAGAAUGAGACAUCAAAAACAUCUCCACUUACCACGUUGCUUUGCCCUGGUAGCCCACUCAGACACUUCAUCCUGGGCCCGUCCAUCUGUAAACACAAUGGCGAUUCGAGGGACAUUUGCUGAAGAUGGUCUUGCUCCUUCUGUCUCUGUGAAGCUUCUCUCAGACAUUUGCCUCAGUGCCAGUCCUGUCAUGGAACCUCGGCCCAUGUAUUUCAUUUGUGACACAGCUUUCUUCAUGUCUUUGGCUGAGCUGAACUGCCUUAAUGUAAACUCUGUACGAACCUCAGUGGAAUACUGAAGCAAACCAACUCGAGCAGCUUUGGGUGAAAUCUCAAGUGUAUCCAAGAUUCCUGAGACAAACUGUUUUACAAUUUCAAAAUUAUCCUCUCCAAGACUUUUUGAUCCAUCAAUCACAAACACCAGGUCAAUUGGGCCUUCAGUGCAUCCUGUGAAAUGAGGAGCAGAGCGUACAGAUCAAGAAAAAACUCCACAAGGCUGGGAACAGAGCCAGAUAUCCUGGCAAAAACUCAGGGAUCAUCUGAAGUACCCUGUUCCUGGCUUGUCCUACCGUGCCAUUGUGUUUGGAGAUGUUGUGUACAGUCUGUCUCAAAAGCUAAGAGUGGGCCUAUGGCUGAGAAUUUAACAAAAUUAUAACUACGGUGAAUAUUUACUGAGCCAUAAUCUGCUUUGCAGAAUAUUAGAACUCUUAAAAAAUGCAGAAACAAUCAGCAAAUGUUAAGAAUUACUCUUAAGUGGAGAGAAUUCAAGAACAUAUCUAGAACAUAGACAGAGUUGCCAUCAUUUUCUUCCACAGAAGAAUGCUAACUUUGCAUUUGUCAAAUUUGUCAGCACUGAGAGACAUGGAAGAGAAUCAUUGAAGCUGCACUUGUGUUGCAGGAGUUAUAGAAUAGUUUUAAAACUAUUUAAUUAUUGAGAGAAUCAGAAUUGGCUAGAUAAGGGCUUUUUUGCUUUUAAGUGUCUACCAAUUUUGUAACUAGAAGACUUAUGUAUCGCUGCAAUUAAUCUUCUCUGGUUUACCCAUUAGAGCUGGGAGUUUGUCAAGAGACAGGCAAAUUUGUAAAAUUUGUAUUUCCCAUACUUUUUGGCAAAUGCAUAUACAAAAAUCAAAGUAGUUUGUAGGCACUGGGCAUCAAUAAUGAGGUGAGGGACUUUAGAGACUGCAGAAUGUCUUCCAAGUUGCAGACUGUUUCUGUCAGGUGGGUUGUUUUGGUAUGUUUGGUUUUUUAUUUUAUUCUGGGAAGGAAUUGCCUUCAGCAGGCAGAGAUUAGUGUGCUUUGUGCAAAGGAUAGCUGCAGAUGUGCUCAGCUCCUAUUGGGUCAAUGUAGCUUCCAGGGCACAUACGCCAUACUAAGGAAUGUUAAGAGCUUCUUACACAGUCUGGACCAAAUAAACUUUGACCUCCACUCAUCUCUGAUCUUUGUACAGGGAGAAUUCUGUAGCAGUACACAAAAGAGAAUCGUGCAGCAGAAAUUACUCUGCAGAAAUUACUAGAGAUGCUUGUUACCAAGUCAAUGUACAAAUAAGGGGUUUUCAGCUUUAAAGCCUGGACUUUCCUUCUUUGAAAAUAUUUUAUUUUAAAACUGCUCAAGAAUUCUUUUUUGCAGUCAACUGAGAAAAAGACACCUCAUAUACUAAGGUGAUGAAAAUGUAAUGAAUAUAUAUAUAUAUAUAUAUAUAUAUAUAUCAGAACCACUCAAUACUACUGCAUAA